CUUCCGUUUCCGCCGGCCGCUGCCCCACCAGGCCCCGGCGCUGCGCCUUCACCGCCGCUGGGGGGAGCGCUUCCCUCAGCCGAUGCGCGGGGCGCAUCUUCGGCCCCGGGUGUGGGAAUCGAAGGGAUGCAGGAUCGGAGGUUUCAGUCACUCCAGAGAUGUUUUCCUCCUUCAGCCCCUGGAUUUCUGUCGCCAUACAACAUCGUGAUAGACCACCAACUGAAAAACUGCAGCUCAUAGAUUCGGAUCUGGCUGAAUUCUACCAUCCACCUCAGGAAUACAGUGCUCUGCUACACAGUGUGCAGCAAACCAUGUUUUGGUUUCAAAUAUAAUUCUCACAAAUCUCAUAUGACCUUGGGCUAUGAGCCACAGACUGAACCUCCUGUUCAAACCUGACCCAGCUCUUUGCACAACCUGAGCAGGAGGAAAUGUGAGACGUAACGUUGGCAGCUCUGGUUCCUGAUGUGUGUCACCCAUUCCCCUUCAGCAAUUUCCCCAUCUUCUCCAAAGCUGAGGUGGGAGAAGAGCCCCCUGUCACCCACAACACCUGCACAGGCCUCUGGGCAUGCAGGGUGAGAGCAGCAAAGAGGAAGGGAAAACUCAUUUAAGGAGAUUUUUUAAAUAAAAAUGUGCUGGUUU